ensembl:lncRNA
CAGAGUUGAGGAGCUGCUGGGAAUGGUGUACAUGGCAGGCGGCCUGAAACAGGGCCAGCAUCUGUCCUAGAUAAGGCGGCGGGUGGCCUACUUGAGCCGGUGCUGGAGCUCCCCGGUGGGCACCUCUCCCAGGCUCUGGCCUGUAAGGUCCUUGUGAUGCACAGACAAGAAACUGAGGCACAGAACCAGGAAGAUAAAUUCCAAGUCCAUAGGCCAGAGCUAGAAUCCCAUCCAGGGAUCCUGAGAAGUUUCCUGGAAAGCAGGCUCCUCAACUUUCUGUGUGAUGGACAUAUGACAACUGAGGGGAAAUGUCCCUCCCAGGGCUCAAUUUCUCCAGCUGUAAAAUGGGACUGCGAAAUGGGCCAACCUGCAGGCAGGCUAUCAGGCAGAAGCAACGAGAGCUUAUUAAACUGCUUCGAAAGUAAAA